rnacentral:tRNA from 2 species
UCGGGGGUCGUCCAACCGGCAGGACAACGGAUUUUGGUUCCGUGAAUAGGGGUUCGAGCCCUCUCCCCCGAAC